rnacentral:rRNA from 1 species
UCCAGAGUAUCAAUUGGAGGGCAAGUCUGGUGCCAGCAGCCGCGGUAAUUCCAGCUCCAAUAGCGUAUAUUAAAAUUGUUGCAGUUAAAAAGCUCGUAGUUGAAUUUCUGCUGCAUUGCUUGUGUCCCUCUGGGGUCUGUGCAUGUGGCUUUUUUCGGACGGAGUUUCUUUGUCUGAAUGUUUACUUUGAGAAAAUUAGAGUGCUCAAAGCAGGCUUUCGCCUUGAAUAGUUUAGCAUGGAAUAAUAAAGUAGGACUUUGGUUCUAUUUUGUUGGUUUUAGGUACCAAAGUAAUGGUUAAUAGGAACAGUUGGGGGCAUUCGUAUUUAACUGUCAGAGGUGAAAUUCUUAGAUUUGUUAAAGACGAACUACUGCGAAAGCAUUUGCCAAGGAUGUUUUCAUUAAUCAAGAACGAAAGUUAGGGGAUCGAAGACGAUCAGAUACCGUCGUAGUCCUAACCAUAAACUA